GUGGUUUAAUUCGACGCAACGCGAAGAACCUUACCUAGGCUUGACAUGCUUGUGAAAAACCAUGGAAACAUGGUGUGCCCGCAAGGAUAGUAAGUACAGGUGGUGCAUGGCUGUCGUCAGCUCGUGUCGUGAGAUGUUGGGUUAAGUCCCGCAACGAGCGCAACCCUUAUCCUUAGUUGUUUCCACGAAAGUGGUUACCCUCUAAGGAGACUGCCUCGGACAACGGGGAGGAAGGUGGGGAUGACGUCAAGUCCGCAUGCUCCUUACGUCUAGGGCUACACACGUCCUACAAUGGGGUUGACAAUGGGAUGCAAUACCGCAAGGUGGAGCGAAUCCCCAAACGACCCCUCAGUUCGGAUUGCAGUCUGAAACUGCCUGCAUGAAGUUGGAGUUGCUAGUAACCGCAGGUCAGCACACUGCGGUGAACUACGUUCUCGGGCCUU
rnacentral:rRNA from 1 species